rnacentral:miRNA from 1 species
UGCAAGUCUCGUGGGGACCCUUAGA